rnacentral:rRNA from 1 species
UACGUGGGGUGCAAGCGUUGUUCGGAAUUACUGGGCGUAAAGCGCGUGUAGGCGGUUCGCUAAGUUCGAUGUGAAAGCCCUGGGCUUAACCCAGGAACUGCAUUGAAAACUGGCGGACUUGAGUCCGGGAGAGGGUCGCGGAAUUCCUGGUGUAGAGGUGAAAUUCGUAGAUAUCAGGAGGAACACCGGUGGCGAAGGCGGCGACCUGGACCGGUACUGACGCUGAGACGCGAAAGCGUGGGGAGCGAACAGG